rnacentral:rRNA from 1 species
CGCGUAGGUGGUAGUGCAAGUCUGGGGUGGAAUCUUAGGGCUUAACCCUAAAACUGCCUUGGAAACUGCAUUACUUGAGUCAGUGAGGGGAGGGUAGAAUUCCUGGUGUAGCGGUGAAAUGCGUAGAUAUCAGGAGGAAGGCCUGUGGCGAAGGCGGCCCUCUGGCGCUGAACUGACACUGAGGCGCGAAAGCGUGGGUAGCAAACAGGAUUAGAUACCCUGGUAGUCCACGCCCUAAACGGUGGGUACUAGGUGUAGGGCUCGUAAGGGUUCUGUGCCGAAGGGAACCAUUAAGUACCCCGCCUGGGGAUACGGCCGCAAGGUUGAA